rnacentral:rRNA from 1 species
AGCGAACGCUGGCGGCAGGCUUAACACAUGCAAGUCGAGCGGGCAUCUUCGGAUGUCAGCGGCAGACGGGUGAGUAACACGUGGGAACGUACCCUUCGGUUCGGAACAACUCUGGGAAACUGGAGCUAAUACCGGAUACGCCCUUAUGGGGAAAGGUUUACUGCCGAAGGAUCGGCCCGCGUCUGAUUAGCCAGUUGGUGGGGUAACGGCCUACCAAGGCGACGAUCAGUAGCUGGUCUGAGAGGAUGAUCAGCCACACUGGGACUGAGACACGGCCCAGACUCCUACGGGAGGCAGCAGUGGGGAAUAUUGGACAAUGGGCGCAAGCCUGAUCCAGCCAUGCCGCGUGAGUGAUGAAGGCCUUAGGGUUGUAAAGCUCUUUUGUCCGGGACGAUAAUGACGGUACCGGAAGAAUAAGCCCCGGCUAACUUCGUG